UAGUAUUUAUUAUAUAUAACCCCAAAGGAUUUGGCGGUAUGAUAAUUCUUUAGGGGAGUUUGUUUUUUAAUUCGAUGAUCCACGAUAAACCUUACUUUACCUAAAUAACUUACACAUUUCCGUUAUAAUGGCUUAUCUUAAAAUGGUUUAAUAAGCUAUAUAUUAAGUAUUUUAGUAAACAAAUCAGGUAAAUAAGUAGUUUUGGUAGAGGAUAAAAUGAGCUACAAUUGUUUUUCACAUUUUAAUUGGAUAGGUUUUUUAAAUAGAAUUUUGAAAUUGAACUUAAAAGUAAGAUUUUAUUAGUAGGAUAAUCUGAAUUGAAUUAAUUAUAUGU
rnacentral:rRNA from 1 species